CCUGAUGCAGCCAUGCCGCGUGUGUGAAGAAGGCCUUUUGGUUGUAAAGCACUUUAAGCAGGGAAGAAAACUCCGUGGUUAAUACCCACGGACGAUGACAUUAGCUGCAGAAUAAGCACCGGCUAACUCUGUGCCAGCAGCCGCG
rnacentral:rRNA from 2 species